GGUGAACGCUGGCGGCGUGCUUAAGACUUGCAAGUCGAACGCAGUCUUCGGACUGAGUGGCGCACGGGUGAGUAACACGUAACUGACCUACCCCCAAGUCGCGAAUAACCAGCCGAAAGGAUGGCUAAUACGUGAUGUGAUGAUCCGCUGUGGCGGAUCAUUAAAGACUUGAUCGCUUGGGGAUGGGGUUGCGUUCCAUCAGCUAGUUGGUAAGGUAAAGGCUUACCAAGGCAACGACGGAUAGCCGGCCUGAGAGGGUGGCCGGCCACAGGGGCACUGAGACACGGGUCCCAUUCCUACGGGAGGCAGCAGUUAGGAAUCUUCCACAAUGGGCGCAAGCCUGAUGGAGCGACGCCGCGUGAGGGAUGAAGGUGCUCGGAUCGUAAACCUCUGAACCAACGACGAAAGACCCGACAAGGGAGAUGACGGUAGUUGGGUAAUAGCACCGGCUAACUCCGUGCCAGCCGCCGCAGUAAAAC
rnacentral:rRNA from 1 species